AUGAGAACUAGGCUUGUUCUGUAGGGAGGUGGCUGUUGCUAUUGCUGGAGCAGAGCUGGCCUUGGUGACAUUUUCUGAGCCCUGGAGGCAGGAGUAACCUUCAGGAGGGGGCAGGCGUGCGCUGCUCCGGUGGCACCGAGGGACUGGGGGUGGGACAGCUGUGCCCCCCAGCAUCGGAACCAGACAUCAAGUCCCAUCUCUGGAAUGCCUGUGAGCUUUCAUUUAUAAUUGGGAGGAGGAAGCACAAAACUCCCCUAAAAUAACAGUUUUAUUGGAAGCAUGUAAUAAACCCAUCUCUGUUCCUCUCCUCGCCUUUGAUAAUGUUACCAGGGCUCACAGCUCCCUUCAAAGUGUUGCUCCAACUUAAAAAUAAGUCUAUUAAAAAUUUAAAACCGCUUCUCUAUACAAUAAAACUUACUCCCUGCAAUUAUGCA